CUGAAACACAAACAUAACAUAUUUUUAUAAUUAAGUUAAACUCAAACAUUAAUUUCAACCAUAUUCACAACUAAUACUCAUUUAUUAACGAUAUUUUGUGAGACCCAAUACUAUUUUUCUUAAAAAGUUACUAAUAAUUUGUAUCAUAUUUGUUACAAAAUCUACCCUUUCAAAUCUAAUUGAUUGAUUAUACAGGCCAAGACAAGGGAACUUGUUAGUGCUGAUUUUGAAGGAAAUGGUGGAUGGAGCGAUUAUCACCCAUCGGUUUUCUUGAUGACAAUAGGCACAAGAUUGCGAGGGGAUUAUCAACUCACUAUUGGUUAUGGCCCAUUAAAGCACCUCAAAUAAUGAAGGUAGUCCUUGAUUUCAACAAAUCGUAUAUAUGCAUCAAAAUCAAGUUAUGAUACAACUUGAAUAGUAUUUUAUGGCAGGAACAUUAUACCGCAUACAUAGUGGAAAAUUACUUUAAUUAUGGCUGAACGUCUCUAAAUCAUAAUUUGAGCUAGAAGCGAUUCAUGCACCCCACCAUCCACUUGUCGACCCGAAGUAACGGCCUUACAGCCCCUAGGGGCACAUGUUGUUAGUCAAGCUUUCACUGUGGACUUGCUGCGUUGGCCGUCUUGAAGUACAAUUUUCAUAAAAAAAAUGGAGCGCCUAAUAAUGCAUCUUCAUAGACCAAGGACUAUGAGAUCACCCAUUUCAUUUUGGGGCAAGUUCAUAUCCGAAAAUGGACUCCAAGCCGUGAGAAUUCCUAUUGGAUGGUGGAUAGCCAACGACCUGAUGCCCCUAAAGCCUUAUGUUGGGGGGGAUCCUUGAAAGCCUUAGACAACGCUUUCCUAUGGGCUCGGUAUGUAACAUCUCUUAAGCAAGAAGUAUGGGAUUAAGGUUAUACGUGAUCUGUGAAAACGUGUGUUAUAUUUAGUUAUUUAUUUUAGCGUAAUAUGUAAUUUCCUAUUAUUUUUAGGUUUUUUUGUAGUAGUAUAAAAACUGUUUUUUACUUUCUUUGAAAACCUAAUUUUGAUAGCUCAAUAGAUUUUGGUUCUCUCUUUAUUCUUCUUCUCCUUCUCUUCUCUUUUCUUCAUUUUGAAUUGAUUCAACAUAUUGGUUUGAGAUUCAUUAUAUUAUUAUCAUGGUAUCAGAGCCUAUAAUUGAGUGAAAUUUGUGAAAUUUCUGUUUGGGUCGUGCUGAAAUCAAGAUAGAAAUCAGGUAAAGAAAGUUUGUAUGAAAAACCUAUUCGACCGCAACUUAAAAUCAAGAUUCCGACCAAAUUGGAGAUCCAUUAAGAAAGUGGAGACCAUAUCCUUGUUCAGUAGGUUGAAAGGAAACGUCCGAUCAGGCGCGUGUCGAUUUUAGGCGGAGCGUAGAGACGGUGGUGGCGCGUGCGUCGUUUUUUUGGGGUGAUUCCAAAAGGCAGUUUGUUCCUUGGUAAAUUUCUGAUCUUUUGGUGGUAUUACUUUGGUUAUACGUAUACCGUGCAGUAUAUUUUAACUAUAGUUUGUGGAAGUACGAUGGUUAUCGUUGGUUUCCUUAAAAAAAUUGGAUAAUUUCGUUGAUUCAUAGUUGGUUAUUUAUUGACUUUAUGAUGGCAACUGAAAGAGAUAAUUCACUUCAAUCCAUUAGUGUCAGACUAAAUGGUAAAAAUUACUCGUAUUGGAGUACAGUGAUGAGAAAUUUUUUAAAGGGAAAAAAAUUAUGGGGUUAUGUUAGCGGAACUAUUGUGAAACCCGAGAACACUGCUCAGAAUUAUGUAACAAAGUUAGAUAAUUGGGAGUCAAAAAAUGCGAAAAUUCUCACUUGGAUUCACAAAUCCGUUGAGCAAUCUAUUGGUACACAAUCAGCGAAGUUUGAAACAGCAAAAGAAGUUUGGGAGCAUUUUCAAACGUUAUACACUAAAUCUAACUUUGCAAAACGGUAUCAGUUGGAAAUUGAUAUACGGGCUUUACAUCAGAAAGAUAUGAGUAUUCUUAAGUUCUACACUGCUAUGAACUCUAUCUGGGAUGAGCUGGCUCUUAUGGAAUCAGCAGGACUGAAAGCAUGUGAGGAAUAUAUUACUUUUAAAGAGGAGCAACGAUUAGUUCAGUUUUUGAUGGCACUUCGCAGUGAUUUUGAGGGACUCAGAGGCUCUAUUUUGCAUCGCACUCCACUUCCUUCAGUUGAUUCGGUGGUUAGUGAACUUGUAGCUGAAAAAAUACUUUUGAAAUCUCUUGCAGGAGAAGUAUCUCUUCCUCCAUCUAGCACCUCAGUGUUGGCUGUACCUUCUCGACUGUUCACACAGAACCAGAAUAAAGGUUAUGUGCGAGUUGCUACUGAUGAGUGUAACUUCUGUAAACAAAAAGGACAUUGGAAGUCUCAAUGUCCAAAGCUAUUGAAAAAGCAGCAACCUCAAUCACAGCAGCGAUCUUAUCGUCCCAAUGCUAACAUAGCUGCCACCAUGCCACCUAAUGAUUCAUCCAUACUUGGAGCACCACCUUCAUCCAAUCCCAUGUUGACGGACUUAGCAGAGCAGUUUCAGAAAUUCUUAGCCACACAACCACAUGCUAUGUCAGCCUCCACUUAUAUAGGUUUGUUAUCACAAAAUCACUCAGGUAUUUCUUCCUCAUGGAUCUUUGACUCAGGUGCUUUCAAACACAUGUCGUCUAAUUCAAAACUCUUUAAUGACUUGCGUCCUUCCAACCCAUCUAUGUCUGUUAUGACUGCUGAUGGUACACCAUUACCUUUAGCAGGUGUUGGUUCAGUUAAUACACAUAAUUUGUCACUGUCAAAUGUCUAUUGUGUUCCAGCUCUUAUUUUGAAUCUUAUCUCUAUUGGUCAAUUGUGUGAUUCUGGAUACUUAGUUCAAUUUUCUUCUACUGGUUGUCAUGUGCAGGAUCCUCAAUCUUAAAAGCUGAUUGGGAUAGGCCGUAGACAAGGAGGGUUAUAUGUUCUGGACAAUCUAAGAUCAUCACACGUUGCAGCCUCUGGUGUUGAUUUGUCAUCUUUUUCUUUGAAUUCAUUGUCUUCUAGUUUUUAUUUGUGGCAUUCUCGCCUUGGACAUGUUUCCACUAGUCGUUUAAAAUUUUUAGUUUCUAAGGGUCAAUUGGGAAAUAUACAAACACAUGAUAUUUCUGAUUGUAGUGGUUGCAAAUUAGUAAAAUUUUCUGCAUUACCUUUUCCUCGAAGUAUUUCUCAUUC
rnacentral:lncRNA from 1 species